UUGUGCGAAGACGCUAUACAGUAAAACUACAAAACCAUAUUCUCAAAUGGUAGCGGAUUAUCAAUGAAUGCUAUGUUUUAUAUAAGAACAGCAGUUGUGUUUGCACUUUUUGCACAAUAUGUUGAAAGUUUUGGUAUUAAAACACAGAAGUUUAACACCAACACAAACAUAAGAAUAGUUCAAAAUGGAGCAUCAGUUCAUACAGUGGAAGCAAAAUCCCGAAUCCAGUGUGCCAUGUUGUGCACAAGUGAUAGUACUUGCUGCUCAAGUACCUAUGACCAAAUCUUAGAACACUGUUCCUUAUUUUUGGCUUGCUGCCCUAUGAAGGAACCCUCUACAGGAUCACAUACAAGUACAAAGACUCCAAAACUAGCUAUGGUCUUUUCUCCUACACCAACCGACUGUAGCGAAUUUCCUCCUGGAACAUGUACUGGGGUACAUACUAUCCAGCCAGAAAACGGUCCAACCAUAACUGUGUUUUGUGACAUGGACACUGAUGGUAGAGGGUGGACGACAAUUCAAAGACGAUUUGAUGGAAAUGUUGAUUUCUAUAGAGAUUGGGAGGAUUACAAAACUGGAUUUGGGGAUAUAGCAGGAGAACAUUGGCUUGGAAAUGACAAUCUUCAUUAUAUUCUUCGAC